CGAUCCAGCGUUCCUGGAGGAAGGUCACGUACCGGUUACACGCCACCAUUUUGCCCUCAGUGCGCAUGCUUGAGCUCACUCACUCCACUCCUGAGAUCUUACUGGGAUCAUCACCAGUUUCAGUACCUCAAGGUUAUUGCUGUUCUUCACUCUCUUCUGGCCACUGCUCUCGCCUGGCCUCCAUUGCCUUCUCCACAUUUACUUGUUCAAAUGACUCAUUAGCUCCCUGGAACCCUGCAGCACGUCCUCCGCGGGGCACCUCCCACCACCGCUGCGCAGCUCAGCCCUGGACACGUGGACACCUCUCAGAGCGGAACGGAGGGGAAGAGAAAUUCCAGAAGCAAUGGGAAAAGAGCGAUUAAAGUUGGCUUCACUCUCUUGGAAGCCGACUGCAGAAUGUGAACGUUGAUUGUAUAGCACAUUCUUUGCCUUUAAUGGGAGAAUGAAGUGAAAGACAUUCCAUGAUAUUCAGUCAGAAGAAGAAAGGACUGUAUUUCCCCUGGUUCCAGUAAAGAGCCAUAAUUAAGUAAAACCAAAUAGAAAAAUAGAGUGGAUAGGAAUGGGAAGAAACAAGGAGAAUACAAUGUGAAUCAUAUGGAAAUAAAAUAAAAAAAUUAAAAUGAGACAGAUGAGGGGGAA